CGGGAAACCGGAGCUAAUACCGGAUAAUAUAUUGAACCGCAUGGUUCAAUAGUGAAAGACGGUUUUGCUGUCACUUAUAGAUGGAUCCGCGCCGCAUUAGCUAGUUGGUAAGGUAACGGCUUACCAAGGCAACGAUGCGUAGCCGACCUGAGAGGGUGAUCGGCCACACUGGAACUGAGACACGGUCCAGACUCCUACGGGAGGCAGCAGUG
rnacentral:rRNA from 1 species